rnacentral:rRNA from 1 species
GUGGUGCAUGGUUGUCGUCAGCUCGUGUCGUGAGAUGUUGGGUUAAGUCCCGCAACGAGCGCAACCCUUAAGCUUAGUUGCCAUCAUUAAGUUGGGCACUCUAAGUUGACUGCCGGUGACAAACCGGAGGAAGGUGGGGAUGACGUCAAAUCAUCAUGCCCCUUAUGAUUUGGGCUACACACGUGCUACAAUGGACAAUACAAAGGGCAGCGAAACCGCGAGGUCAAGCAAAUCCCAUAAAGUUGUUCUCAGUUCGGAUUGUAGUCUGCAACUCGACUACAUGAAGCUGGAAUCGCUAGUAAUCGUAGAUCAGCAUGCUACGGUGAAUACGUUCCCGGGUCUUGUACACACCGCCCGUCACACCACGAGAGUUUGUAACACCCGAAGCCGGUGGAGUAACCUUUUAGGAGCUAGCCGUCGAAGGUGGGACAAAUGAUUGGGGUGAAGUCGUAACAAGGUAGCCGUAU